UUUGUGAAGUGUAAUUUAUAUGCUUUUUUCCUCUCCCUCACAGAUAACCAUGGUUAAUAAAUGGUCAGACACGUCACUGGCUUUAAAAUAUAAACCCCAUUGAUGCAAAAAGAUGCUGCAUGGAAGGACAAUGUGGUUUGGAACAGACUUGGUGAAGAACAUGGAAACAUCUCUUAAUAAAAUGGCCCCAAACAUCAUCAGGAGUGCAAAAGAAGGAAGUAAAAACAUCUCUACGCCAAUCUCAUUGGAGAGGAAACCACAGAAGGUCUGGUGAGGAAUGCUGCACUUAUGUUAUUGCAAGCAUUAUUUCAAGAAACUCCCAGCUUCCUUGACUGUGUAAAUAGUGAACCCAAAGGUCCCACACCAACCAUAGUGUUCAACGGCUCUCCUGAUCUUCUCAAAUCUGAAAGUAUCAACUUUAUAAUGGACAAUGUGAACUUAAUAUGUGGAAGACAUUGACAUCACAGGCUGUGGAAUGACUGUGUCACAGGUCGGAGAAGCGGACCGCCCUUGUCGCGGAUCACGCUCCUCCUAGUUCCACCUCGAGGAGGUCCCAAAGCACCCCAAUGACCAGACAAACCAGAGAUAAGUAAAAUAUAGAAAUAGAAACUUUAUUUAAAACUAAAGUGGGAAAUGGGAAUCUAAAAAUCUCGCUUCUCGCCCUCAGGGGGGAGUAUUACGGGGCCAGGGACGUUGGAGGGGUUUCCACGUGACUCCAGCUGGAACACCGCUACAGAGCGUAUCUGGGUGGGUUGGGCAGCCCCUGAUGGCAUCCACAAAGGUCCAAGACCCUCCAAAGCUCCUAGCCGUAGCAGAACUACGUAUUUCAGCACCCGAAGGACUAACAACCCAGCCGGCAUCUGCAGCGUAUAUCCAACGCGAUCAAACUUCACUCUGACAAGUAACUUCCUAUACACAACCACGCCGUCCUUUCGCCCG